rnacentral:tRNA from 1 species
GCAUUGAUAGCUUAAUACAGAGCAUAGCACUGAAGAUGCUAAAGUGACAAUAUCUGUCUCAAAGCA